rnacentral:rRNA from 1 species
CCUACGGGUGGCAGCAGUAGGGAAUCUUCCACAAUGGGCGAAAGCCUGAUGGAGCAACGCCGCGUGGGUGAAGAAGGUCUUCUGAUCGUAAAACCCUGUUGUUAGAGAAGAAAGUUCGUGAGAGUAACUGUUCACGUGUCGACGGUAUCGAACCAGAAAGCCACGGCUAACUACGUGCCAGCAGCCGCGGUAAUACGUCGGUGGCAAGCGUUAUCCGGCUUUAUUGGGCGUCAGGGGAACGCAGGCGGUCUUUUAAGUCUGAUGUGAAAGCCUUCGGCUUAACCGGAGUAGUGCAUUGGAAACUGGGAGACUUGAGUGCAGAAGAGGAGAGUGGAACUCCAUGUGUAGCGGUGAAAUGCGUAGAUAUAUGGAAGAACACCAGUGGCGAAAGCGGCUCUCUGGGCUGUAACUGACGCUGAGGUUCGAAAGCGUGGGUAGCAAACAGGAUUAGAUACCCUUGUAGUC